rnacentral:rRNA from 1 species
CCUACGGGAGGCAGCAGUGAGGAAUAUUGGUCAAUGGACGAGAGUCUGAACCAGCCAAGUAGCGUGAAGGAUGACUGCUCUAUGGGUUGUAAACUUCUUUUAUAUGGGAAUAAAAUGUUCCACGUGUGGGAUUUUGUAUGUACCAUAUGACUAAGGAUCGGCUAACUCCGUGCCAGCAGCCGCGGUAAUACGGAGGAUCCGAGCGUUAUCCGGAUUUAUUGGGUUUAAAGGGAGCGUAGGUGGAUUGUUAAGUCAGUUGUGAAAGGUUGCGGCUCAACCGGAAAAUUGCAGUUGAAACUGGCAGUCUUGAGUACAGUAGAGGUGGUCGGAAUUCGUGGUGUAGCGGUGAAAUGCUUAGAUAUCACGAAGAACUCCGAUGGCGAAGGCAGCUCACUGGACUGCAACUGACACUGAGGCUCGAAAGUGUGGGUAUCAAACAGGAUUAGAUACCCGAGUAGUC